UGGGGAAUAUUGCGCAAUGGGGGAAACCCUGACGCAGCAACGCCGCGUGAAGGAUGAAGGUUUUCGGAUUGUAAACUUCUUUGAUGAGGGACGAAACAAAUGACGGUACCUCAAAAACAAGCCACGGCUAACUACGUGCCAGCAGCCGCGGUAAUACGUAGGUGGCGAGCGUUGUCCGGAAUUACUGGGUGUAAAGGGCGUGUAGGCGGGGAUGUAAGUCAGAUGUGAAAUACCGAGGCUUAACUUCGGGGCUGCAUCUGAAACUACGUUUCUUGAGGGUCGGAGAGGACAGCGGAAUUCCUAGUGUUGCGGUGAAAUGCGUAGAUAUUGGGAGGAACACCAGUGGCUAAGGCGGCUUUCUGGACGAUAACUGACGCUGAGGCGCGAAAGCGUGGGGAGCAAACA
rnacentral:rRNA from 1 species